GAUGAACGCUGGCGGUAUGCUUAACACAUGCAAGUCGAACGGUCUCUUCGGAGAUAGUGGCGGACGGGUGAGUAACGCGUAAGAAUCUACCUUCAGGUCGAGGACAACCACUGGAAACGGUGGCUAAUACUGGAUGUGCCGAGAGGUAAAAGGCUUGCUGCCUGAAGAAGAGCUUGCGUCUGAUUAGCUAGUUGGUGGGGUAAAGGCUCACCAAGGCGACGAUCAGUAGCUGGUCUGAGAGGAUGGUCGGUCACACUGGGACUGAGAUACGGCCCAGACUCCUACGGGAGGCAGCAGUAGGGAAUAUUGCGCAAUGGGCGAAAGCCUGACGCAGCGACACCGUGUGAAGGAUGAAGGUCUUAGGAUCGUAAACUUCUGUCAAUUGGGGACGAAGGUACUAAGGUUAAUAGCCUUUAGUACUGACGGUACCUAAAAAGGAAGUCUCGGCUAACUCCGUGCCAGCAGCCGCGGUAAGACGGGGGAGGCAAGCGUUGUCCGGAUUUAUUGGGCGUAAAGAGCUCGUAGGCGGUCUGGUAAGUCGGAUGUGAAAUCUCCACGCUUAACGUGGAGGGGUCAUUCGAAACUGCCAUGGCUAGAGUUUGGUAGAGGAGUGCGGAACUCCCGGUGUAGCGGUGAAAUGCGCAGAUAUCGGGAAGAACACCAGUGGCGAAGGCGGCUACCUGGACAGGUACUGACGCUGAAGCGCGAAAGCUAGGGGAGCAAACAGGAUUAGAUACCCUGGUAGUCCUAGCUGUAAACGAUGGGCACUUGGUGUUGCGGG
rnacentral:rRNA from 1 species